rnacentral:rRNA from 1 species
UACGUAGGGGACAAGCGUUGUCCGGAAUUAUUGGGCGUAAAGCGCGCGCAGGCGGACGCUUAAGUCUCAUGUUUAAACCCGGGGCUCAACCCCGGGUCGCAUGGGAAACUGGGUGACUUGAGUGCAGGAGAGGAGAGCGGAAUUCCACGUGUAGCGGUGAAAUGCGUAGAGAUGUGGAGGAACACCAGUGGCGAAGGCGGCUCUCUGGUCUGUAACUGACGCUGAGGCGCGAAAGCUAGGGGAGCAAACAGG